AGUGAUAAAUCCCGGCUGAAAAUGAACCCACCUCCUACGCCCUCAUCCGACGUAUACGAGAAAUUCGAAACGACUUGAGGUGCAUAUCAGAGUCUUUCAAUGGGAAUCAAUGAAAAACGCAUCGAUGGGAAUCAGUAUCUCCCUAAUAAUUGUCAUUUAUAGAUCAAAAAGAAAACGCAUCGAAGGAAAUCAAUUAUAAACCCAUACUCAGACCAUCACGAUUAUAAACCAGGAGAAUCAGUUUUAGAAGAAGUUGUUGGGGUUUCUGUGUAAUCCACUAUCGGGGCUUAUGGAAUCUGUUAAUCCCUAUUGCUCUUUCUAAUGGGGGAUUUAUCCACUAUCGGGGUUUAUGGAAGCUGUUAAUCCCUAUUGCUCUUUCUAAUGGGGGUGUAGUCAUAAUGGGUUUACAGAUUCAAUGCAGUCACUCCAAAAGUAUUCCAAAGGUUCUUGCUGCUGCGCAACUGCCACAACAUGAUAACGGGAGUAUACUUUGAAAUUGAUAGAGACAAGUCUUCUUUUGGUGCAGAUCCAACUCUCCCUUUUAACAUAUUAAUAUAUGCACAUGGUUUCCUUGAUGGAGCUAAAUAUAUGGAUAAGGUAGCUAAAUAUAUGGAUAAGGUUGCAUUGCGGUGGCAAUAAUCGAGAAGUUUUGAAGACUUAGGCUGGGUUUGGUAAUGCUUUUAUUUUUCCAAAAGCACUUUCAAAACCUAUAUAUGUCAAUAAUUUUUGAAAUUGGUGUUUGAUAAAAAAAAAAAUCAAAUUCCUCAAUUUUCAAAAGCCGGGGAGAAUGAGCUUUUAAAAGCUAUUAAAGCAUAAGCUUUGGUCCCACCAAAAUUCAAUGCUUGAUUUAUCCUUUUUUUAUCCCUAUUUUAUUUUGUAAAUGACAAAAAUUACCCUUAAAUAUAUAUACAAUCAAUUUUUAUUUCUUCU